GAAGGCCUAUGAUGUUAUAUAUUUUAUGUAUUGCCUACAUUGUUUGAUUAUCUAUUCUGAUAAAUGUAAUCAGCUAAUUGUUCUGAGGCCUCC